GUGAGGAAUAUUGCACAAUGGGCGAAAGCCUGAUGCAGCAACGCCGCGUGAGUGAUGAAGGCCUUUGGGUCGUAAAACUCUGUCCUUGGGGAAGAAAAAAAUGACGGUACCCUUGGAGGAAGCCCCGGCUAACUACGUGCCAGCAGCCGCGGUAAUACGUAGGGGGCAAGCGUUAUCCGGAAUUAUUGGGCGUAAAGAGUGCGUAGGUGGUUUUGUAAGCGUAGGGUGAGAGGCAGCAGCUCAACUAUUGUUAGCCCUGCGAACUGUGAGACUUGAGUGCAGGAGAGGAAAGUGGAACUCCUAGUGUAGCGGUGAAAUGCGUAGAUAUUAGGAGGAACACCAGUGGCGAAGGCGACUUUCUGGACUGUAACUGACACUGAGGCACGAAAGCGUGGGUAGCAAACAGGAUUAGAUACCCCAGUAGUCC
rnacentral:rRNA from 1 species